rnacentral:rRNA from 1 species
CAACGGCCGCGGUACCCUAACCGUGCGAAGGUAGCAUAAUCACUUGUUCUUUAAAUGAGGACUUGUAUCAACGGCACUACGAGGGCUAUACUGUCUCCUUUUUCUAAUCAGUGAAACUGAUCUCCCCGUGAAGAAGCGGGGAUCAAAAUAUAAGACGAGAAGACCCCAUGGAGCUUUAAACUCAUCACGCACCUCUGUGCCCCCAUAUCCUUAAACACAAGAGAUCUGCGUGCUAGUUUUAGGUUGGGGGGACCACGGAGUAUAACUUAACCUCCAUAACAAAUGGGCUAACACCCUUAUCCAUGAGACACAGCUCUAAGAAUUACCAAACUAAUGCUUAUGACCCGAUAUUCGAUCAAUGAACCAAGUUACCCUGGGGAUAACAGCGCAAUCUACUUCAAGAGCCCAUAUCGACAAGUAGGUUUACGACCUCGAUGUUGGGUCA